rnacentral:lncRNA from 1 species
GAGCACCGUAAGUCAAAAUCGUUGGAAGUCAAGAGGAGAAGGAGGACCCAAUAUUGGUCUAGCGGUGGUGAUAGGCAAAACUUAUUGAGGGUGAGAUAAAAGGGGGUGUAUAGGUCUUUAAAUAGUUGUUAGAGACUAAAUUUCUUAGCUCAUGUAAGAAAUCGGGAUGGAGGAAAAGUUUGUCUUCCAGUCCCAGUCAAAUAGGACUCUAUCCUUUAUUUUUUCUAUAUCUUAUUCCAAGUUAAAUAUUGCUCUUUUUUUUUUCGGUCUCCUCCUCUAAGUCCAAUACGACUCUACUCUUUUUCUUUUCAGAUCCAACUUCUUAUUAGCUGGGCUGGAU